AGUUGGUUCCAGAGGUGUAGACAGAGAGACAACAGCUCAGAAGAACUCUGCACCACCUCAACUCACAAUAGACCUUUCUAACAUGGUCAAGCCUUUCUAACAUGGUCAAGCCUUUCUAACAUGGACAAGCCUUUCUAACAUGGACAAGCCUUUCUAACAUGGUCAAGCCUUUCUAACAUGGACAAGCCUUUCUAACAUGGUCAAGCCUUUCUAACAUGGACAAGCCUUUCUAACAUGGUCAAGCCUUUCUAACAUGGACAAGCCUUUCUAACAUGGACAAGCCUUUCUAACAUGGACAAGCCUUUCUAACAUGGUCAAGCCUUUCUAACAUGGUCAAGCCUUUCUAACAUGGACAAGCCUUUCUAACAUGGUCAAGCCUUUCUAACAUGGACAAGCCUUUCUAACAUGGUCAAGCCUUUCUAACAUGGUCAAGCCUUUCUAACAUGAACUAUCCUUUCUAACAUGGACAAGCCUUUCUAACAUGGACAAGCCUUUCUAACAUGGUCAAGCCUUUCUAACAUGGACAAGCCUUUCUAACAUGGUCAAGCCUUUCUAACAUGGUCAAGCCUUUCUAACAUGGUCAAGCCUUUCUAACAUGGACAAGCCUUUCUAACAUGGACAAGCCUUUCUAACAUGGACAAGCCUUUCUAACAUGGUCAAGCCUUUCUCUGGACACUCCCUAGCUGGUGUUGACUGUGUCUCUAACCAUCCUGACCAAUGGGGUUGAUUUCCUCCAAGCUGUGCGAUCACUGUCCACAAUGUGCAGAGUCCUGCCAGGUGGCUGCAGAGUCCGGGGAGAGGUGCCUGUGUGAGUGUCACAGCUGGGAGUUCUGCCCUGGCCGCUGCUGUGACCUGACCUGCCAGGUGUGUCUGGAUGGCUGCUUCACCUGCUGCUCAGCAGACUGUAGCUACACCUUCUUUACUCUCUGCCUCGGCCUCGCACAGAACUGCACCGCCGUCUUCAAAACAGACCGACAACAACCUGGGACCUCAGAGGCUCAAUGUGAAUCAGUCGCCAGACAGACAUGGGCUGCUGCUUCAGCGGGUCUGAGGGGGACGGAGAGGGGGACAUGAAGCACGGGGGGGACAGCGGCUGUAAGACGUGCUGUCUGAAGACCAGGAACUGCGUGAUGAGUGGAGAGUGUGGACGGGCUCUUCAGAUUGCCAACGUCUGUGCCAUGUGUGGAAUGUGCAUCCGCAUGUUUGUCUAGCUGCGACUCCAUGAGGUCAGACCUGCUCUCAUUCCCAUGGUAGCUGUACAGAGAGCUGUGAACAAUAGGACCGGUAUGCCACUCUCCCAUGGGUGGAUCACCUGGGAUCCAGCCAUGUUACAAAAGACACACACCCUGGACCCGCCCUGUGCCUUAGUGCCAAUAGAAUCAGCACCCUGGACCCGCCCUGUGCCUUAGUGCCAAUAGAAUCAGCCCCCUGGACCCGCCCUGUGCCUUAGUGCCAAUAGAAUCAGCCCCCUGGACCCGCCCUGUGCCUUAGUGCCAAUAGAAUCAGCCCCCUGGACCCACCCUGUGCCUUAGCGCCAAUGGAAUCAGCACCCUGGAGCCAAGCAGGAAGGAAUGUGAAGCGUAUCCUGUAAUUGAUGUCCUUGUGCAAUAGUACUUGUCUUCCUCUUCUGUUGUAAAACAUCUUGGAACAGUGUGCCCUAAUGAACAUGACUCUGUCCUGCUGCUGUUUAUGCAGAGCUCCAGCUGGAGAGGGAACAGGCAGUAGACUAGGCCCAACAGGCAGUAUGUAUGCACAAACACAAACACAUUGUUCAAGCCACCAAGUGGCCUUUUGAGUACUGGAAGAUCACGCAGGGAGUAGGUGGAAACAUAUUCAUACCGGCGAAGAGACUGUACCACCAGGAACACUCGGCUGUGAGGGGAAAUUAUGUUUGUUGUGGAGAGAGGAGGGGGACCGAUACGGGGGCAGAGAGAGAGAGGGAUGAGAGCGGAGCUAGAGACAACAAUCUUUUUCAUGCCAAAUUCUCAAUAAAACGAUGCUUACAGGAAGACACCAGAAUGUACCAGAUAUAAAAUCUGAUAAUCCUUAUUGUAACAAAGUGGUUUGGAUGGAAAAGUGCUCAUAGACUGUGUCCCAGAUGGCACCCUAUUCCCUUCAUAGUGCACUACUGAUAAGAGGAGGAAACUACUAGAUGAACUGAGCAUGCUGAAACAAACCUUUGUGACAAACCAGUCACAGUGGUAGGAUGUCCAUGUCCUCAGAAAAUCAUUCCAUCUCUCUGAGUGUCCCAGAUGGCACUUGAUUCCCUUCAUAGUGCACUACUUCUGACCAGGGGGUGUAGGGUGAAUAGGGUGCUAGGCAGGUUGUGAGGAUCUCUCGUUCUCCUUAAGUAUCUAAAAACCAAGUGUGUUGAUACAGAAUUGUGCCUUUCAGACUGGACUACAGUACCAUGUUGACCUAUUCUUCACUGCUGAGGUGAACCUUCCCUCUUCCAAACUUUCUUUUAUCUGUAGAAAGUAUUUUUCAUCAAUGCUCUUAUGCUCCUUGACAGUCCAAUAUGUAAGAAAAGAGAUGUGCUUUUUUUAUGAUUCAUUUGUUUUUUGUAGGGUGUUUUUAUAUAGUCUUUUGGGGGUGAAUUGUCUUCAUGAUGUCUAUUGGGAUGAUCAUUUAUUGUGCUCAGAAAAUAAUUUCUAUACUGUAGGUGUCGUAGCUAGGGAAGAAACUAUCGGUAUGGUUCAGGCUGUGUCCCCAAUGGCACCCUAUUCCCUAUGCAGUGCACUACUUUAGACUAGAGCCCUAUGCAUCCUGGCCUAAAGUUGUACACUAUAUAGAUAGUCGGAUGCAAUUUGGGACGCAGUACUUUGUUGUAGUGAUGACUACACACCAUUUCUAUGUUCACAUUGUGUAAUGUAUUACUUAAUAAAGAACUACCAAGUGUA